AUGAAGACAAAAGGGAGCUUUUCACUCUUGUACAGUGUUAAAGAUGGAUCUGUCUUUAAUAAAGACCAGCCUAUACUUCUUGUGCUGUUGGAUAUCUUCCCAUGAAUGGGUGUUCUGGAUGGUGUACUGAUGGAGCUACACAACUGUGCUCUUCCCCUUCCGAAAGAUGUCAUUGCAACAAACAAACAAGAGGUUGCCUUCAAAGAGCUAGAUGUGGCUGUUCUUGUGGGCUCCAUGGUAAGAAGGGAAGAAGUGGAGAAGAAAAACCUACUGAAAGCAACUGUGAAAAAUCCUCAAAGCCUAGUGUGCAGCUUUGGAGAAAUAAUCCAAGAAGUCAGUUAAGGUCACUGUUGUUGGAAACCCAGCCAAUAUGAACUGCCUGAUGACCUCCGUCAGCUCCCUCAAUCCCUGAGGAGAGCUUGACUUGCCUGACUUGCUUGGACAACAGAGUUAAAUCUCAAAUUGCUUUUAAAACUCAAUGCAACUGCUGAUGACAUAAUGUCUUUAUUUGGGAAAUCAUUCCCCAGCUCCAUAUCUAGAUGUCAAUCAAGCUAAGGGGAAAUUGCAAAGACAGAAAGUCGGUGUGUAUGAAGCCCUAAUAGAUGACAGUUGGCUCAAGGGACAGUUCCUCAUGACUGUGUGACAGCAAGAUACUGCUGUCAUUCAAGCUGGGAAACUGCCCAGUGCAAUAUCUGCCGUGAAAGCCGUCUCUGGCCACAUCAGAGACAUCUGGUUUGGAACUCCAGAGGAAGAGUUCAUGUCAAUGGGUGUUAAGUUAUCCCUGAUGUCAACUCUCUGAGUGUUCUGACAAUCUGCUCUUGCUCCCUCUUAUGCUCAAGAAUAAGGCCUGUAAGUUUGUAGAAGGCCUCCCUAUUUAGAAGAUGGACCUUACUACCUAAAUGCUUUAGGAUUUCUUUCCUCUGCUGACUCCACAAUUGUGUUGAUGUCAACAAACAUCCCAAAGCUGAGGAAUCUAAACGUCGUCAUUGAGCCUAGUACCAAACAGUUGUAAUGUUUAUAAUAUUAUACUGUACUAUUGAGUAUAAUAAUUAUAGUCAGAGUACUUGUGAACCGCGAGCUAUUUUAAAGAUUGUGUGCUUUACGGUAUAGAUUUGUGAAGGUUUAUUAUGUUGUUGGUGCUGCAAUCUACAUAAAAAU